rnacentral:misc_RNA from 1 species
GAAAUGCGAUAAUUAAUGUGAAUUGCAGAAUUCAGUGAAUCAUCGAGUCUUUGAACGCACAUUGCGCCCCCUGGUAUUCCGGGGGGCAUGCCUGUCCGAGCGUCAUUGCUGCCCUCAAGCACGGCUUGUGUGUUGGGCUUCCGUCCCUGGCAACGGGGACGGGCCCAAAAGGCAGUGGCGGCUUCGCGGUUAUCCGAUCAGCCAGAGCGUAUGGGGACUCUCUCUCUUGUCACACGCCCGCGGCGCGGACCGACGCCUGUCGACCUUUAUUCAUCUUCUCUCGGUUGACCUCGGAUCAGGUAGGGAUACCCGCUGAACUUAAGC